rnacentral:rRNA from 1 species
GACGAACGCUGGCGGCGUGCUUAACACAUGCAAGUCGAACGGAAAGGCCCUGCUUUUGUGUGUUUCUCGAGUGGCGAACGGGUGAGUAACACGUGAGUAACCUGCCCUUGUCAUUGUGAUAACUUCAUGAAACAGGGGCUAAUAUAGGGUAGAAGCUCUUGCUCCGUGGUGGGGGUUGGACAGUUCCGGCGUUUGGGGAUGGAAUCGCUGCUUAUCAGCUUGUUUGUGGAGUAGUGGCUUACCAAGUCUUUGACGGGUAGCCGGCAUGAGAGGGUGAACGGCCACAUUGGGACUGAGAUACGGAGCAGACUCCUACGGGAGGCAAAAGUGGGGAGUAUUGCACAAUGACCCGAAGACUGAUGCAGAAACGUCGCGUGCGGGAUGACGGCCUUUGGGUUGUAAACCGCUUUCGCCAGUAACGAAGCGAGCGUGACGGUAAUGAGUAAAAAAGCAACGGCUAACUACGUG